AACCUCUGCCUCCUGGGUUCAAGCAAUUAUCCCGCCUCAGCCUCCCAAGUAGCUGGGAUUACAGGCCUUUACCAUUCAGACACUUUUUCUGUGCAACAUACACAGGGCUAUACCCCCCUCCAUUUUUGUUUCAAUCCCAACUGGCUUGUCUCUAAUAAAAAUACUAUCUCUUUUGGAGCUCUUUGUGUGUCAAUAAUAAUCCUAUCAACUUAUAAUUGAAUUUUAAUACAUUUAAAUUAGAAUUUUUUUUUCUGCCUCUUAAAAAAAAAAUCCACCACAGAGACGCUCCACAGCAUGCACACAUAAACCUAGACUUGGCCAUUUCUGUGACUAUUUCUUGUGUUGUGCCGACAUCGACACUCAAGUGACCAUUCCUGGUCCAUACAGUUACGUAUUUGCCUUUGAUUACAUAGCAUGGUCACUGCAGAAGUGGAAGAGCAUUUUAGAUGCUAAAAAUACUCUGCCAAAUUGCCUCUAGCAAAGCCUUUACUUUGAGUCAGCUCUCUUCCCUGAGGCAGGAAAAGGCCUGUUUCUCUACAAGG
rnacentral:antisense_RNA from 1 species